AUUAUAAUGAUGAUGUGACAUUGGAUUUUAACAGGAACUGUUAGCAGUAGUGCUGCCUCAGCAGAAGUACCUGAUGGAAACUCAAAAAUCCAAUGUAAGAGCAGUACGGGCCAAGCAAGCAAUCCGGAUUUAGGCGCACGAAAGAGGAAAACUACCCACAAAUUGAAAUCCCAAAGACAGCUGUUUGAAAGCGGAGGUGUCAGUAGACAAAGA